rnacentral:misc_RNA from 1 species
GAUGAAGAACGCAGCGAAAUGCGAUAAGUAGUGUGAAUUGCAGAAUUCAGUGAAUCAUCGAAUCUUUGAACGCACAUUGCGCCCCCUGGCAUUCCGGGGGGCAUGCCUGUCCGAGCGUCAUUUCUGCCCUCAAGCACGGCUUGUGUGUUGGGUGUGGUCCCCCCGGGGACCUGCCCGAAAGGCAGCGGCGACGUCCGUCUGGUCCUCGAGCGUAUGGGGCUCUGUCACUCGCUCGGGAAGGACCUGCGGGGGUUGGUCACCACCAUGUUUUACCACGGUUGACCUCGGAUCAGGUAGGAGUUACCCGCUGAACUUAAGCAUAUCAAUAAGCGGAGGA